UCCUAAGAGUGCUGGGCAU
rnacentral:misc_RNA from 1 species